CCUUGCUCGCUACUUAUUAAGCCCCCACAAAACUUGCUACCUGCUCUCUCUUCUCUCUCUCUAAUGGCUUACGUGGACCACGCCUUCUCGAUCUCCGAUGAGGACUUCAUGAUGGAGCCCUCUUACGUCAUCCAAAACCGGCCGCCGAUCAAAGAGGUCGCCCUCGCCGUCGCCCUCCUCGUCUUCGGAACCCUUGCCAUCGUCUUCGGAUCUUACAUGGCCGCCAACAGAAUCGGCGGCGACAGAGCUCACGGGGUCUCGUUUGCGAUUCUGGGCUCGUUGCUGUUCUUGCCGGGGUUUUAUUAUACGAGGAUCGCGUAUUAUGCGUUCAAGGGUUACAAAGGCUUCUCCUUCUCAAACAUACCGCCGGUGUAGGAGCUGAAAGUGCUUAUUUCGAUCGGACGCAGUGUACCCUUACCACCGUUUCUUCCGGUAAAUACUACACUUACAAACGUAUCCUCAUAAAAGCCGGAGCACAUUAUCUAAUAUAUUGCAAUGUUCACUUGUUGAAGAUGUUUCUUAGUGUUUCUUAAGGCUGAUUUCAAAUUACAAGUUCCUUGACUUCAAGAGUCAUAAACCAUCACCUCUCUUUUUCAUAGUGUGGCGGGAUGUAUAAUUUCAAGGCAAUGGAAUACUGCAGCGAUCCUGCAUAUGAUCGAGUCAAUGAUCCCCAAAGGUCACUUGUCGUGGCCAAAUGAAGACCAUUGUGAUCGAUUGGGUACAAUAAUAGUCCUUUUUCCCUUUUGCAAAAGCUUCUUUUUUCCAUUGUUAGGGCAUUUUUCGUCCUUCUUGAUGAAGAUGGUAUACUAACCAUUCUCACAAAGUGAAGAACUCAAUAACCACCAAGUUGAUAUUGACGGUUGGAGCUGGCACUAAAUUCAGAAAGUCUCGUUUUCAUUCGUCCCAAUGGACUGCUGGGGUUUGUUGAGAUUAGUGAAGAGGUAAUACAGAAAUAUAUUUUCAUAGUCUUGUUAAUUUAAGAAUGAGUUAUUACCAAAACAUUAUGGCCUUAUUAGCAUAGGAGCACUUCAAUGAGAUAUGAGUUUAUUUCCUUGCACAAGGGCAAUAAGGAGGCUAAAGGUAAAGGACCGUAUGUUCUGUAAUUGAUGUUUUUCUGUGAAAUAAAUCAUCAACGUUCUUCAUGUUUCAUGGUGAUCUACGACUGCACUUAGUCUAAGGCUCUAAGCAGUUUAGCACUAACUUUAAUGUGGGAGCUGUUGUGCUUCACUUGUGGGAUCAAAGGAGAAAGCUAGUAAAAUGUACAACUAACCUUUGUGAUUUGGAUGUAGAUGGAAGUGGAUAUGCAUAGAGAUAACUCAAAGCCUAUUGAUGGAUAGGUAAUUGGACAAAGGCACCUCUUUUGUCCACCCAAAACUACAACAACAUAACCACCAACAGCAAUUGCUAUGGUUGUAAACUGAACAACAUAUUGUUUGUAGCUUAAUGUAUAUCUUACCCCAAUCCUUUUGUUCUUCAUCCAAAUACUCCUAAGUUACUGUCAUGGCAUGUGUCAAUGCUACCUCUUUGAGUUAGUUUGGUCAAUGUUAUAGAAAGCACUAGGCACCUCUAGUCACCAACCCG